GAUUAAUUCAAGUAAGAAAAUCUGAAAAAAAAAUAUUGGAUAGUUAAUAAUAUUAUUAAAAUAAACUAGAUUUUUUAUGAUGUUACAUAUAAUAUAGUAGUAGUAGCAUCAGUAGCAAUAGCAGUAUUAGUAGUAAUAGUAGUAAUAGUGCUAAUAGUAGUAGUAGCCGUAGUAAAAAUAGUAACAGUAGUAAUAAUAGCAGCUGUGGCGGUUGUAUUUGUAGUAUCUAUUGUAGCAGUAGUAAU
rnacentral:lncRNA from 1 species